rnacentral:rRNA from 1 species
GACGAAGGAUGCAAGCGUUAUCCGGAUUCAUUGGGUUUAAAGGGUGCGUAGGCGGACCAGUAAGUCAGUGGUGAAAUCUCUUUGCUUAACAAAGAAACUGCCAUUGAUACUGCUAGUCUAGAGUAUAGAUGACGUUGGCGGAAUAUGACAUGUAGUGGUGAAAUACUUAGAUAUGUCAUAGAACACCGAUUGCGAAGGCAGCUCACUAUGGUUGUAUUGACGCUGAGGCACGAAAGCGUGGGGAUCAAACAGG